GCAAGAUACCGAGGGCGCACGGCGGAUGCCUUGGCAUCGGAAGUCGACGAAGGGCGCGGCAAGCUGCGAUAAGCCCCGGGGAGGCGCAAACGGCCUUCGAUCCGGGGAUUCCCGAAUGGGGGAACCCGCCAGGGGCCAUGCCCUGGCACCCCCGCCCGAAUACAUAGGGCGGAGGGAGGCAACCGGGGGAACUGAAACAUCUAAGUACCCCGAGGAGGAGAAAUCAAACGAGAUUGCGCGAGUAGCGGCGAGCGAAAGCGCACCCAGCCCAAACCCCCGUACGCGUUACAGCCCGGAGGCGCUGCGACGCCGGGGUCGUGGGCCCGCACCGCCCGGGGCUUCGGAGCCCGGGGCGCGGUGACAAAGGGGAGAGGGAGCGGAACGGCCCGGACAGGCCGGCGAGACAGGGUGAAGGCCCCGUACGCGAACCCCCUCCCCCCGCGCGAUGCGGGGCCCGAGUAGCGCCGGACACGUGAAAUCCGGCGCGAAGCAGGGGGGACCACCCUCCAAGGCUGAAUACUCUCCGAUGACCGAUAGCGAACCAGUACCGUGAGGGAAAGGUGAAAAGCACCCCGAGAGGGGAGUGAAACAGUACCUGAAACCGUGCGCCCACAAGCAGUCGGAGCGGACAAUGCGUUCCGUGACGGCGUGCCUUUUGUAGAAUGAGCCUGCGAGUCGCGGCGCGCGGCGAGGUUAAGGACUACCGAGCCGCAGCGAAAGCGAGUCUGAACAGGGCGUUCAGUCGCGCGCCGCGGACGCGAAGCCGGGUGAGCUAUCCAUGGGCAGGCUGAAGCGGGGGUAAGACCCCGUGGAGGGCCGAACCCACUUCGGUUGAAAACGGAGGGGAUGACCCGUGGAUAGGGGUGAAAGGCCAAUCAAACCCGGAGAUAUCUCGUUCUCCCCGAAAUAGCUUUAGGGCUAGCCUCGGGCGUUAAAUGGCGGAGGUAGAGCACUGGACCGGCGAGGGGGCCUCACCGCCUACCGACCCAGACCAAACUCCGAAUGCCGCCAUUCGAAAGCCCGGGAGUCAGAGCAUGUGGGCUAAGCUGUGUGCUCGAGAGGGAAACAGCCCAGACCGCCCGCUAAGGCCCCCAAGUCCGUGCUGAGUGGCAAAGGAUGUGCGUUUGCCUAGACAACCAGGAUGUUGGCUUAGAAGCAGCCAUGCAUUUAAAGAGUGCGUAACAGCUCACUGGUCAAGUGGACAUGCGCCGACAAUUCACGGGGCUAAGCACGGCGCCGAAGCGGCGGACCGUAUAUAUACGAUGGUAGGGGAGCUUUCCGCGCAGGGCGGAAGCCGGAGGGGCGACCCCCGGUGGACCGCGCGGAAGUGAGGAUGCAGGCAUGAGUAGCGAGAGCAGGGCGAGAAACCCUGCCGCCGCAAGCCUAAGGUUUCCUGGGCGAGGCUAAUCCCCCCAGGGUCAGUCGGGAGCUAAGGCGAGGCCGGGAGGCGUAGCCGAUGCGCAACGGGCGGACAUUCCCGUACCGCCGGGGCGGCGCUUACGACCGAUGGGGCGACGGAGAAGGGUAGCCGGGCGGGGUUCUGGACGUCCCCGUGAAAGCGCGUAGGGCGCGAGGCAGGCAAAUCCGCCUCGCAUGCGGCCCGAGACGCGAGACGAAGCUUCGAGCGAAGCCGGCGAUCCCACGCUUCCGAGAAAAACCCCUAGGCAGGCGCCCCGGCGCCCGUACCAAAACCGACACAGGUGGGCGGGUAGAACAUACCGAGGCGAUCGGGUGAACCAUGGUCAAGGAACUCGGCAUAAUGGCCCCGUAACUUAGGGAGAAGGGGCGCCCCCUGCGGUGAAGGAGCGAGCCUCCGGAGCGGCGGGGGGCCGCAGCGAAACGGCCCAAGCGACUGUUUAUCAAAAACACAGGACUCUGCCAAGCCGCAAGGCGACGUAUAGGGUCUGACGCCUGCCCGGUGCCGGAAGGUCACGGGGAACCGUCAGCCGAAAGGCGAAGCGGCGAACCUAAGCCCCGGUAAACGGCGGCCGUAACUAUAACGGUCCUAAGGUAGCGAAAUUCCUUGUCGGGUAAGUUCCGACCUGC
rnacentral:rRNA from 1 species